UACGUAGGGGGCAAGCGUUAUCCGGAUUUAUUGGGCGUAAAGCGCGCGUAGGCGGCUUGUUAAGUCAGGCGUGAAAUCUGGGGGCUCAACCCGCAGCUUGCGUCUGAAACUGGCAGGCUUGAGUCUGGUAGAGGAAAGUGGAAUUCCUAGUGUAGCGGUGAUAUGCGCAGAUAUUAGGAGGAACACCAGUGGCGAAGGCGGCUUUCUGGGCCACGACUGACGCUGAGGCGCGAAAGUGUGGGGAGCAAGC
rnacentral:rRNA from 2 species